rnacentral:lncRNA from 1 species
GCACAGUCAACAUGGAUCACAUAAAGCGACACUACUACGGAAGCCAUCCGUCUAUCAACCCAUUCGGAAUAAUUCCUAGCGGGCCAGAUAUCGACUACUCGUCUCCUCACGACAGAAACAGGUUUUCGACAUAGGUUUUACACACUACCGAUCGCAAAUCGAACGACACAUAAUUUGCGAAUUGAGUUUGUGCGUCUUUGUUGUGUCUGUAAAGCUCGUUUAUUAGACCGUCUAUCAUCGUGUGACAUGUUAUGUUGUAAGUCUAUGGCUCAUGUUACUUUUAUGGGCCAAACCUAUUAUAUUAUAUAUCUUUCAAGGCCUUUAUAUGUCAUUUUACAAAUGGAUAAAUUUAUAAUUAAAAAUGCGUGAAAACAUAAGAUACUGGGUUAAGAAUAGCUCUAAUUUAAAAUGAGUUACUCAACUUUGAGAGGGCUCCGACUCAAACUUCAACCUAGAUAAGGCACUACAUAACUUAAACUGCAAUGAAGAGAAACUACGCACAAUCUGAGUCAUCCAAUAAGUUAAAAACUUGCUUAGUUGGAGCCUAAUUAAUGGGUUUUUUUUCCAUGAAAAAUAAAUACGCUGGUCGAAGCCGAAGGAGAAAAGUUAAAUAUUGUAAUAAGAAAAAUUGUUGUUAACCUUCACCAUCAAGUCGUCUUGCAUAUAUGCAAUAUGGAGAUAGCAAAGCGCACAGCCAUCGGGCAUAUUUCUGGUACGUGCAUUGCCUUGUUGAAACAGUUUGAUUAACUUGUCUGAAACUGUCAAGGCUAAAGCAAAGCCAUUAUUGGCCCAGACAAGUUCAUUUUCGAUGACCAGACAAGUUCCUUUUCGAUGACAGAAACAACUAAGUGGGAGUGGGGUAGUCAUCAUAAGUCAUGACUCAUGACGACGCAGCGUCAAUGGGUCUUUGAGUUGGACUGGCAACAGUUUCUUUCAACACAAGUUAAUCCGUGAUUUUAUCCUUUCAUCGUAUAUCGUACGGUCAGAAAUCAUUUUAAAAUUUAAAAUUUAAUAUAAAUAGUACCUAACGAAAACUGACCACACAAUACAUAAUGAAUGGAUAAGAUCACGGGAUCCCUAGGAAAAUGAUCCAGCGAAGAUCCUUCUCCAAUCUUCACAGCAAACUACUGCUGACAUCUAUUCUAUUAAUUUAUAGCUAUAAAAAUACAUGCAUGUACGUAAUAUUAUUGUCUCUGGCAAAUUUGGCCUUGGCUCUUGCAGAUCGCCGACCAUCGGUACAUGUCUGGGCAAAAAGACUCGAAGAAAAUGAAGGUAUAUAGAUUAAUCAUUACUGUCACUUAAUUUAAAGUAGAGUUUCUUCCUGUAAUAAAUUACAUUUCUAGCUAUAUAUAUACAUAAAUUAUAUCUCAGCGGCCUUCCCUCCCCCAAUUACAUAACCCAAUCGAUUUGUUUUUGUUUUUUGCAGCGUAAGAUUGUGAUGAAGGUACCGAUGAAUUGCCGGAAAUGCCAAGCGAAGGCGCUCAAAAUUGCUGCUACAGUAGAUGGUACUUAUGUUUGCUCCGGCAGCCCAUCACUUUCAUUUACUGAUUAUAUUAAUUAUAUGCAGUUUUACUAAAUUAGCUGAAGAACAUCCGGUUUCAUAUGAUAUUAAAUUGUAAAAUUAAUUAACAAUGGCAUGGGAUUGAACAUGGAUACAUGCAAUAUGCAGGUGUGAGUUCUGUGGCGUUGGGAGAGGAAAAAGACAGGGUGGUGGUGACUGGGGAGGGAGUGGACGCCAUUAAGUUGGCCAAGAGCUUACGGAAGAAAUUCAUGGCCGCCGACAUUAUCACCGUCGCAGAAGUCAAGUGAAUAAGUGAUCAUCCGAGAGCCUACCUAGGACGUCCUCUCUCGCUGCAAAUUAAUUAAGCUAGCUGAUGAUGAUCAAUUAAUAUCCAUAUACAUUAUAAAUUACUCGUUAAUUUAAUUAAGUAUUUUAUACAUGUGAGAUGAUACUGAGAUGUAUUUUAUAUGCGAUUGAGAUUCUAUAUAUUAAAUUAACUAUAUAUCAUGAUUGAAAUGUAUUUUAUAUGCGAUUGAGAAUCUGAGAUGUAUUUGGCCGGCGGUGUUACUGAAUUGAACCUUACAAGGGAGAAGAUGAUGAGGAGUGAGUACUAGUUUAUUGUAGAAAGUUGGAAAUUCCCUGCCUUGUCCUUGUUUUUGUGAAUGUGGGGUCUUCUGGUUAAGACUAAAAUAAUGAGAAUUUUAACGAAAAACUUCUGGUACUAUUCACUUUAAUGAAAAAUUAUAUUUUUACACUAAAAAGUCAAUCCUGAUACUAUUCAUUUAUCAUUUAUUUUGUCCUUAUCGUUAAAACUCAAAGUUUUCAAAUCAUUUUCAUUAAUUUUCCCUAAAAUAAUACAUAAUUCAUUUGAUUCAGCAACAUUUAGUCUUCACUUUGUUAAGGAGGCGUUGAAUUCAAAUAUUACGAGCGACAAUUGUUAAUAAGAAGAAUGACUUAACUCGAUACAAGUAACUCAAAACCGAAAUUUCAUAAAAGACAAAAGGUGUUUGGACUGUAACUAAAUUUGAACAAGAAUAUGAUCCACAACCGCAAUUACUUUUGGAUAAACGGCUAAUAAAUAGCUCGUUUGGAUGUACUUUUAAAAUGAUUGAAAACAUUUUUGGUGUAAUUGAUUUUGGGUUCUAAAGGCACUUAAGUGCUUUUUGAAAAAAACAUCGGAUAUGUCAUUCUUGCAUGAAGUACUUAAAAGUAUUUUUUCAAGAUUUACUUAGAUUUUUACUAAGGAUUGAUUGUAAAAACAUUUUCAUUAAAACCGUUUUCAAUCAUUUUAAAAAUACUUUCAAACGAACAAUAAUCUCCAACACGAUCACUAUUCACCUAAACAAGAUGACGUAACUGAUGAUGAUCUUUUCCUCGUUUUCAGACUCUUCCUUUUCUAUUUGUUUAUUGUUACCACUCGGAGUCUGGUUGGUCGGACUCAGAGCUCACCAACAGCACUACAUCACCUCUCUCUCUCUCUCUCUCUCUCUCUUGCUCUCUCUCUCCGAGUCUCGCCCUCAGAUCCCCUUCAAGCCUUCAAGGUAACAAUUUAAUUUAAGUUUUCAUUUAGUUUGCUCUGUUUUCAAUUUUCUCAUUACAAAGCUGCUGAAUUUUCCUCUCAAAAUUUUAAUUUUGUAAUUCUGCUGCUUUUGCAAAUCAUAAUUCCUUUUGCUUCAACUGGAUUAAUUUCUAUUAUCUAAGUUUUAAUUGCUAGUCUGAUGAUUAAUUAUCACUCUUAAGUUGCCUUGUUCUUCUCUUAAUUUGAUGCAUUUGGUGGUUGUGAAUUUUUGAAUAACAGUGCAGUGGAAAACAAUGAAUUGGGUUCGUUGGAGAACUUUUCAAAAACAGUCUGGAGAAUUUUCCAAAAACAGUAGUCCAUUUAGUAAGAAUCUAAAAAAUGUCGAAUCGAUUAUCGGUUAACUACCCAGAAAAAAGGAUUGUUCAUUUAGUUUCAUCCAACUAACUACCCAUUACUCAGAUUUUAGCGAAAAAUUUCAGGAAAACUAAUGAAAAAGACUUGAAAGCUUUGAGUUUUAACGGACAAAAUAAAUAGUAAAGUGAAUAGGAUCAUGAUUGACUUUUUUAGUGUAAAAAUGUGGUUUUUCAUUAAAAUGAACAGUAUCGGAAGCUUUGUGUUAAAGUUCCCAAAAAUUUCGUGUCAGUUGUAAUCAAGGUUUUGAUAUUUCUAGGUGUAUCUGGUUCUAGCUGAAUUGCAGAUAAUGAUGUAAAGUUUCUUUAAACAGAAAUCUUUUCAAUCCAUUCAGGUUUCCUCUGAUUUCGAAUCCAAUCUCGUGGGUUUGUUUGCGUGUGGCUGUAUGAAGCUUCAAUAUUUGCAUUUUCAUCUUAAUAAACACAAGGUUUCUUAGAUGUGCUACUUCAACAAUUGGAUAAAAUCUUAGAUGUGCUAAUUUCUGCAGGUAGUCAUUCUUCAGCACACAAUCAAAUGGCGCGAUCUGCACUAGAUGAGACCUCACUAUCGGGUGCAUUUGUGAGAACUGCUUCUGUAUUUCGUAACUUCAUCUCGCGGGACCCGAAUUCGCAAUUUCCAGCAGAACCUGGAAGAUAUCAUCUGUAUAUAUCAUAUGCUUGCCCUUGGGCUUCCAGGUGCCUUGCGUACUUGAACAUAAAAGGACUUGAUAAAGCCAUCAGCUUUACGGUAUAGUACUGUAUAUUAGAUCGUUACUUACUAGAUUCACUUUCUAAUUGCCAAAUUAAUCUCAUCUGUUUGUUUGAUUGUUUGCUUGUUUUGUGUCACUUAGUCAGUCAAACCGAUAUGGGAAAGGACAAAAGAAAGUGAUGAACAUAUGGGGUGGGUUUUUCCUGCUUCCGAAACAGAGCUAGCGGGAGCUGAACCCGACCCCUUGAAUGGAGCAAAAAGCAUUAGAGAACUUUACGAGCUUGCAAGCACACAGUAUACCGGAAAGUACACGGUUCCAGUAUGUUCACUCAUAUUAAGUGGCCUUUUCAUUUUUCUUUCGUUGACUAUCUGCUACCAAAUGACUGAUCAUUUUACUUUGGUAGGUUCUAUGGGAUAAAAAACUCAAAACAAUUGUUAGUAAUGAGAGCGGGGAGAUUAUUCGCAUGUUCAAUACUGAAUUCAACGAUAUAGCUGAAAACGCAUCUUUGGACUUAUAUCCUCCUCACUUGCAAUCCCAAAUUGAUCAGACAAAUGAAUGGAUAUAUGACAAGAUAAACAACGGUGUCUAUAAAUGCGGGUUUGCGAGGAAGCAAGAGCCUUAUGAUGAGGUAUAUUUUGGAAGCUGUAAUGAGUUUUGACUGUGUAGGUUCUGGAGUUUACGUUCUCUUUAAGGACCAUUUGUGCUAUUUCAAACGCAUUGGUUAAUCGGUCUCUUCGCACUUUCUCAGGCUGUGAAACAAUUGUACGAAGCUUUGGAUAAAUGUGAGGAGAUACUUAGCAAGCAACGAUACCUGUGCGGGAACACAUUGUCUGAAGCAGAUAUUCGGUUGUUUGUCACUCUUAUAAGAUUCGACGAGGUACUGUUUUUUGACUCCUCAAGCAAGAUUUGUUUUUUGUCAGAAAAUUCCGCCAAUUUAAUGGUUUUCGAUCUAUAAUAUGAAGAACCAAGAACCAUGCUAGUUUUUUUUAUCAUUGAUGACAGGUUUACGUAGUCCACUUCAAGUGCAACAAGAAGGUACUACGAGAAUACCCGAAUUUGUUCAACUACACCAAAGACAUUUUCCAGGUUCCGGGGAUGAGCAGCACAGUCAACAUGGAUCACAUAAAGCGGCACUACUACGGAAGCCAUCCGUCUAUCAACCCAUUCGGAAUAAUUCCUAGCGGGCCAGAUAUCGACUACUCUUCUCCUCAUGAUAGAAACAGGUUUUCGACAUAGGUUUUACACACUACCGAUCGCAAAUCGAACGACAUAUAAUUUGCUUUUGUUGUGUCUGUAAAGCUCGUUUAUCAGACCGUCUAUCGUCAUGUGACAUGUUAUGUUGUUAAACUAUUACUCAUAUCUUUGAGAUCAGCUGGUACUUUGAAAGAGUGUUGUUUAUUAUGCGAUGGCCACGAGUGAUAAGUCCA